rnacentral:rRNA from 1 species
CAUACGACCGUACCGCAAACCGACACUGGUGCGCGAGAUGAGUAUUCUAAGGCGCUUGAGAGAACUCAGGAGAAGGAACUCGGCAAAUUGACACCGUAACUUCGGAAGAAGGUGUGCCCUAUUAGUGUGUAGUGAACAACGAAGCAUGAAUGGGUUGCAAAAAAUCGGUGGCUGCGACUGUUUAUUAAAAACACAGCACUCUGCAAACACGAAAGUGGACGUAUAGGGUGUGACGCCUGCCCGGUGCUGGAAGAUUAAAUGAUGGGGUGCAAGCUCUUGAUUGAAGUCCCAGUAAACGGCGGCCGUAACAAUAACGGUCCUAAGGUAGCGAAAUUCCUUGUCGGGUAAGUUCCGACCUGCACGAAUGGCGUAACGAUGGCCACACUGUCUCCUCCUGAGACUCAGCGAAGUUGAAAUGUUUGUGAUGAUGCAAUCUCCCCGCGGAAAGACGGAAAGACCCCAUGAACCUUUACUGUAGCUUUGUAUUGGACUUUGAACAGAUCUGUGUAGGAUAGGUGGGAGGCUUUGAAGCAGGGUCGCUAGAUCUUGUGGAGCCAACGUUGAAAUACCACCCUGGUGUGUUUGAGGUUCUAACCUAGGUCCAUUAUCUGGAUCGGGGACAGUGCAUGGUAGGCAGUUUGACUGGGGCGGUCUCCUCCCAAAGCGUAACGGAGGAGUUCGAAGGUACGCUAGUUACGGUCGGACAUCGUGACGAUAGUGCAAUGGCAUAAGCGUGCUUAACUGCGAGACUGACAAGUCGAGCAGAUGCGAAAGCAGGACAUAGUGAUCCGGUGGUUCUGUAUGGAAGGGCCAUCGCUCAACGGAUAAAAGGUACUCUGGGGAUAACAGGCUGAUACCGCCCAAGAGUUCAUAUCGACGGCGGUGUUUGGCACCUCGAUGUCGGCUCAUCUCAUCCUGGGGCUGUAGCCGGUCCCAAGGGUAUGGCUGUUCGCCAUUUAAAGAGGUACGUGAGCUGGGUUUAAAACGUCGUGAGACAGUUUGGUCCCUAUCUUCCGUGGGCGCUGCAGAUUUGAGGAAGCCUGCUCCUAGUACGAGAGGACCGGAGUGGACACACCUCUGGUGUAUCGGUUGUCACGCCAGUGGCAUUGCCGAGUAGCUAAGUGUGGAAGAGAUAACCGCUGAAAGCAUCUAAGCGGGAAACUCGUUUCAAGAUGAGAUCUGCCGGGGCCUUGAGCCCCCUAAAGAGUCGUUCAAGACCAGGACGUUGAUAGGUCAGGUGUGGAAGCGAAAAAAAAAAA